UACGGAGGAUGCGAGCGUUAUCCGGAUUUAUUGGGUUUAAAGGGUGCGUAGGCGGGAUGCCAAGUCAGCGGUAAAAGUGCGGUGCUCAACGCCGUCGAGCCGUUGAAACUGGCGUUCUUGAGUGGGCGAGAAGUAUGCGGAAUGCGUGGUGUAGCGGUGAAAUGCAUAGAUAUCACGCAGAACUCCGAUUGCGAAGGCAGCAUACCGGCGCCCUACUGACGCUGAGGUACGAAAGCGUGGGUAUCGAACAGG
rnacentral:rRNA from 1 species